rnacentral:rRNA from 1 species
UACGAGGGGAGCUAGCGUUGUUCGGAAUUACUGGGCGUAAAGGGCGCGUAGGCGGCCCUGUAAGUCAGAUGUGAAAGCCCCGGGCUUAACCUGGGAGGUGCAUUUGAAACUGCAGGGCUGGAGAUCGGGAGAGGAAAGUGGAAUUACGAGUGUAGAGGUGAAAUUCGUAGAUAUUCGUAAGAACACCAGUGGCGAAGGCGGCUUUCUGGCCCGAUACUGACGCUAAGGCGCGAAAGCGUGGGGAGCAAACAGG